GGACGAACGCUGGCGGCGUGCUUAACACAUGCAAGUCGAGCGGUAAGGCCCUUUCGGGGGUACACGAGCGGCGAACGGGUGAGUAACACGUGGGUGACCUGCCCUCAGCUCUGGGAUAAGCCUGGGAAACCGGGUCUAAUACCGAAUAUGACUCCAUGACGCAUGUUGUGGGGUGGAAAGCCUUGUGCGGCUGAGGAUGGGCCCGCGGCCUAUCAGCUUGUUGGUGGGGUGAUGGCCUACCAAGGCGACGACGGGUAGCCGGCCUG
rnacentral:rRNA from 1 species